AAUAGAAAAGUGGUAACAAUAGACUGCUAAGUGCUAACAGUCAACAAAGCAAUCCCAGAAAUAUCCUAAAAUAUUUGACAACUCCUAAUUUCCUAACAACCCACUAAGAUCAUAUUCCAACAUAUACUAUCAUUCUCAGUGCUCCUCUCUCUAAUGCCAGCUCCCUCUUCUUCUAUCUUUCAAAUUUGAAGAGGUGCUCUUCUCUCUUUCAACGUUCAAGAAUCUCCUCUCUUCUAAGGUAAGGUUUAUCAAUUUCUCAAUCAUUUUGUUGUGUAUUUUCGUUUAAUUUGCUCGUUUAUUAUAUCUAUUCAAUUUCAAAAUCAUCAUAGCAUCACGCGUGACAUAAAAUUUUCGAGAUUGUAUAUCUUUGCGCAAUAUGAAUCUUCGUACAGGAACAUAUAACAAUAUCAAAACACCGAUUCCCCAUGCUAAUAUCAACAGCAAUGAAGACAACACCCAUUGUUUUGUUUGAUAAUUGACGAAACUCUCCUCCAUUUCCAUUUACAACACCCAUGAAUUUCUUCUAAUAGUGUUUGGUUCCAAGGGAAUUAUAUAUGCGCUAAGAGUUGUGUCUUGACAUCUUUUGAUUUGUUUGUUUGUUCAUUGGUUUAUCUAUGAAAAACAUUUCCAAUUUGUAUUUUUUUUUUCAAUAUUUUGCAAUUUUUGGAUGAUAUUCCGUUGUCUCCUUUAUAUUAGAGAAGGGUGUUUGGGGUUAUCCUUUCAUCCAAAUGCCGACAAAUGAGCGUAUUUUUGCUGGGAUUGUUAUCUUUGAGUGUCAAUGUUUUUGUUUUUUUAAAGAGGAAUGAUAUUCAAUUCAUGAAAGAUCAAUUCAUGAAAGAUCAAAUAUUUCAAGAAAUGCUACAAAUUGCUAUCUUGUUGAUAUAUUGGAAUUGGUCCGCUAUCAAGUAAUUAUUUUGUUGCUAUUGAAACUAAAGAUAUUGGGCUGUUGGAUUUGUACCAACAUGUGAUAUUUGGGUUCAUGAAUUAAUAAAGAUGAUGGAAAAACGAACAAGCUCGGAAGAAUAUCAUGGUCAGACAAUCUAUCGGGACAAUUGUUGACUAUUCUACUUGAUUAGAAAGAAAGAGGAUCUAGCAAGUAUAAUUGGGCAAAUAUUGUCAAGAUUUUUGAUUUAAAAACGGACUUAAAGCAUAGUGGAAAAUAAGUGCAAAAUCAUCAUGGUGACAAUAUAAGGCUUGGAUGGACUUACAAAAUAUGAGUAGCAUAGCAUAUAAUCCUCAAACUAAAGAGGUGGAUGUUCAAUAAACGUGCCUAGAGAGGCGGGAAGCAUUCUUAAAGAAGCAUCCUAGGUAUAGCUUGGUUAUAGCUAAGAAGGGACUACCCAAUGUCGAGAACAUGAAAAAACUCUUCUCUAGUGUGUCAGCACAUGGUGUUGGUGGUUGUUUUACUCAAGAAAUGGUUGAGGAACAAACUUUUUGUCUAAAGAGGCGGAGGCCGACUUAACUAUCGUAAAUGAAGGGUCCAAGGAUACUGACGAAUACUUGAGUGGAGGGAGCAGUCAUCUCUUGUGAAGAAAGUAAAUUCCCUCCCCCAAAAUCAGUUGUGCAAAAAGUGACACCCAGAACCUCCUGCAAACGGCAAAGUGAAGAGACCAUUAGUUCUUCAGAACCCAAAAGAAGGCGAACUAGUUUCAACGAUGUUAUUGAGUUACUAUUGGGGGUUGAUGUUAGUUCAUCUACUGCUCCCGCGCCUUCAAAGGCUCUAUUGGUUAGUGAUGCUCUAUCAAAUAUGAAAUGGGUGAAGAGCAAGGCAAUGAGUACUUUGUGGAUGCUAUGAAGUACUUCAAUGAUGAAUUGAUGAUAUGAUGAUCAGAGGUAGUAUUUUCUAUAAGGAGGUUUGGACAUGGCAUAUUGCUUUGAGUAGCUUGUUGGUGAGUUGUUGGUCUUAUGCUUGGAUGUCUAAUUUAUUUUUAUUUGAUCACUGUUUUGUGUGUUUUAAUUUGUGUGACUUUGGUGCCAAACUUUGAUAUAUUUUUGUGUUUGUAUUUUAUGAUGUAAUAUAUAUGUCAUCUCUUCGGAUGCGGAACUUAUGUUUAAAUGUUUUUAUCACAUGUAGAAUGGAUGAUCAUAUGAAACGUGCAUCUACAAUUGUUGUGUUAGAAGAAUUAAGGAGAUCACUUGAACAAAGUGAAUCAUCGAAAUCAUCAACAAGGAUUGUAAUAACAACAAUAAUACUAAUAAAAGUGGUAGACUGAACUGAAUUGAAUUUCCAUUAAUUCAGUCCAAAAGAACAGAGCCUCAAUGUCCAAGUCCAACCAAUGAAUUUUUCGCAUAA